CUUCCACAUCUUUCUUCGAACAAACCCAGGAACAAAAAUCCAUGGCUUCCACUUCAACAUCCUUGAUACCCUUACGAGGACAUGGUCGAAAAGCCAGUUUCUCUUCAUCACCAGCAAAAACUGCACUAAAAAAAGCGUUGAGAUUUUCAUUUUCGUCAAGGUCAAGUGUAGUUAUAUGCGUUAAAUCUUCUAGCGGUGCAGUGAAAUAUAAUGAAGUGGUUGUUGAUGAAGAGAUGGACAAGAUUAGGAGACUUCAAAAUGGGUCCGAUGUUCGAGGGGUUGCAUUGGAAGGUGAAAAGGGUCGAACCGUGGACCUUACCCCACCAGCCGUGGAAGCCAUAGCCGAGAGCUUCGGAGAGUGGAUUAUCAAGGCCUUGCAAAAGGAACGAGGACGUCCAGUGGAAGAUGUUACAGUAUCACUUGGCAAAGACCCUCGAAUAUCAGGAGCAUCUCUGAGUGUAGCAGUAUUUGCAGGCCUUGCUCGAGCUGGUUGCUUGACAUUUGACUUGGGCCUUGCUACUACACCAGCUUGUUUUAUAAGCACAUUGCUGCCACCAUUUGCUUACGAUGCUUCAAUCAUGGUAGAGUAAAAAAAGCAGUCUUCACUAAAAUCUGUGCUGAAAAAAAAUGUUAAAACAACUAUGGUAAAUUUGUAUGUAAUUUGUGUUGCAGAUGACGGCUUCUCACUUACCCUACACUCGCAAUGGUCUGAAAUUUUUUACAAAGAAAGGAGGUUUAACUUCGCCGGAAGUGGAAGAGAUAUGUGACAAAGCUGCUCAUAAGUACGCCAACAGGCUCACAAAAGUGUCGACCAUGCUUAACUCUCCUCCGAAAAAGGUUGACUUCAUGAGGGCUUACGCAAAGCACCUACGGGACAUUAUCAAGGAGAGAGUGAACCAUCCUAUUCAUUAUGACACUCCACUCAAAGGAUUCCAGGUUUUAUCUCUAUCUUUUGGUGUGCUUGCUAUUUGUUUACACGUACUUUUCUACGUUAAAUAUUGCAUUUUACCUUGGAACGCUAUUCGGUUCUCACUCUUUCUUUUUGCAUCCAAUUAGAAAUAGUAGGAAACUUCAAAUAUAAAUCAUAUGGUGCUUGUUAGGCUGUUGGCUUAUCGAAAAGGGAAAAUGAUUUAUUUUACCCUCUAAUUUUACAAAAUAAGUUAUUUUAGUUAUUUAUUUAAUUCUUUUUAUCUCUUUUUAACUCUUAAAUUUGUAUUGUUUGUCAAAUUACUUCAAAAUAUAUGGAAAAUUUAACGUGUGUUCACUUUGCUAACGUGAUUUAAAAUUUUAAAAUUCAAAAAAAUUAUUUUAAAAAAUUAAAUACUAUUAAAAUUAUUAAAAAAAGUAUAAAAAUUAUAAUAAAAUAUUUUUUAAUUUUUAAAAAAUAAUCAAUUGCUGAUGUGGAUGCCAUAUAUUAACUUUUGAUCUAUUUUGGGUGAUUUGAUAAAUAAUAUAAGUUUAAUGAGACAAAAAAUUAAAUGAAGGACUAAAAUGAUUUUUUUGUAAAAUAGAAGGUCAAAUAAGUCAUUGUCUAUCCAAAAACAGGCCAAGUUUUCGUGUGGUCAAGAAUUCUUCUAGUAAGAGGGCCAUAUCUGUGGAGAUCAGGCUAAGGGCUUAGUUUCCUGAAGAUCCUAGCCCACGUAACACAGUGGCAAUAUAUUUAUGCAUCGUUACAAGCUAAUUAAUUGCCUUGACAUUACACCUGAUUGCAGAUAAUUGUAAACGCUGGAAAUGGAUCAGGAGGUUUCUUCACAUGGGAUGUGUUAGACCAGCUUGGCGCAGAUACAUUUGGUUCUCUACAUCUCAACCCUGAUGGGAUGUUCCCCAAUCACAUCCCCAAUCCCGAAGACAAAACUGCAAUGGCAUUAACCCGAGCCGCUGUGCUAGAAAACACAGCUGAUCUCGGCAUUGUUUUCGACACUGACGUAGACCGCAGCGGUGUGGUCGACAACAAUGGAAAUCCCAUCAAUGGUGACAAGCUUAUAGC
rnacentral:lncRNA from 1 species